rnacentral:rRNA from 1 species
GUAGGGAAUAUUGCACAAUGGAGGAAACUCUGAUGCAGCGACGCCGCGUGAGUGAUGAAGGCCUUCGGGUCGUAAAGCUCUGUCGCAGGGGAAUAACACAAUGAAGGUACCCUGUAAGAAAGGAUCGGCUAACUUCGUGCCAGCAGCCGCGGUAAGACGAGGGAUCCUAGCGUUGUUCGGAAUCAUUGGGCGUAAAGCGGAUGUAGGUGGCUAUGUAAGUCAGAUGUGAAAGCCUGGGGCUCAACCCCAGAAGUGCAUUUGGUACUGCGUAGCUUGGGUGUCGGAGAGGUUACUAGAAUUGUUGGUGUAGUGGUGAAAUACGUAGAUAUCAACAGGAAUACCGGAGGCGAAGGCGGGUAACUGGCCGAACACUGACACUGAGAUCCGAAAGCGUGGGGAUCAAACAGGAUUAGAUACCCCAGUAGUCC